CACUGCCCUCCAUCUCUGGCUCCAGGCUGAACUGCCUGUGAGGCUUCUGUUCAAUCCCAGUCCAGCUGUCUUCUUGGAGCUCCAGGCUCCCUCCAAGAACAGGAGACUAAGCCCACAGCAGUGAUCUGCACAUCCGAGAAGGGAAGAGCAGGGGCCAGCCUCAGUGACAAUGGCCACAGGACACUCUAGCCAACAUGUGGGCUUGUUUCCCUGCAGGCUCUGAAGCCCUCCAUGAAUCCCAGGAAGAAGGUGGACCUGAAACUCAUCAUCAUCGGAGCCCUGGGUGUGGGAAAGACCUCCCUCCUUCACCAGUAUGUGCACAAGACAUUCUAUGAGGACUACCAGACCACACUCGGGGCCAGCAUCCUCUCCAAGGUUAUCAUACUGGAUGACACAACUGUGAAGCUACAGAUCUGGGACACAGGUGGUCAGGAGCGGUUCCGCUCCAUGGUGUCCACGUUCUACAAAGGCUCUGAUGGCUGCCUCCUGGCCUUCGAUGUCACCGACCUGGAGUCCUUUGAAGCCCUGGAUGUCUGGCGGGGUGACAUUCUGGCCAAGACUAUCCCCGUGGAGCAGUCCUACCCAAUGGUGGUGCUGGGGAACAAGAUUGAUCUGGCAGACCGGCAGGUGCCCCAGGAGGUAGCCCAAGGCUGGUGCAAAGAGAAGGAUAUUCCCUACUUUGAAGUCAGUGCCAAGAAUGACAUCAAUGUGGUGCAGGCCUUUGAGAUGCUGGCCAGCCGUGCUCUGUCCCGGUAUCGAAGCAUCUUAGAGAAUUACCUCACAGACUCCAUCAAGCUCUCUCCAGAAGACCAGUCAAGGAGCGGAUGCUGCUGACCUCCAGAGGCAAGGCCUGCCCUGGGGCGGGUCAUCCAGGAGGACGGGGUCAGGGGCAUGCCCCAGCCAGCCCGCCACUGCCUGCCCAAGUUCAGCAGGAGGCUUAGGCUUUGCCCCCACCGCGUUGGUGCUCGCCCAGAACGCAGAGGGCAGCGCCUGCCUGAGGCUGAGUGUGGUGCGGGCAGGCCCGGGUGAAGCCCUCAACUGUACAGCCAAGCCCUGGAGGAGUCACAGUUCUCCUUGCUGGCUCCGGCUUCCCUGCCACCACCUCCCAAACCCACUCCUGCUGCAGAACGCUCAUCUCUGCAGACAGACCACCAUCCCUCUCGUAUUCUCCUGUGGACCGGCUCUCCUCACCCCUAUCCCGCCACGCGCACACACCAAAGCCACAAGCUCAGCCUCGGAUGAGGCUACAGCUCAGCUUCCCUCAGGAUCCAAGGCCAAGGAGUGAGGGCCUGGGCUCAGCCGCUGGCAGAAGCUCUUCAGGACUGGGCCAGCCCCUGAGGGGGCCCAGGCAGAGGCCUAGGGGACUCUGGUUCUUUCCUCCUUGGGGGUGCUCAGGCAACUCUUGUAACACUCUGAGCCUGGGUUUGGUCAUCUGUCAAGUGGCGGUGAUAUAUGCCCUGCCUAUGUCAGGGCACGCUUUCAAGGACCAGAAACUCCCCUUAAAUCUCAUUGCUCUCGUUGAUAUGCAUGUAUUUAUUCCUUCAACAAGUAUUUUUUAGUGUCUACUAUGUAUGAUACACUGAAGUUCAGUGACAAAAAAGAAAUAGACAAGGACCCUAUUCUCCUGUAGCCUAUAUUCUGGUGAAUGGAGGAGGCAAUAAACACAGAAUUUAAACAAAUAUUUUCAAAUACCAGGUAAGUGCUGUGAAUAAAGUGAAAGAAGAUAUGGGAUAGAGAGAGACAGGGGGUGGGGCUGGGGUGCUAUUUUAGACAGAGUGGUCCGGAGGGCUUCCCUGAGGAGGUGACAUUUGACUUGAGGGCUAGAGCAGGAGAAGGCAGCUGCCAGCUGAGAUCUGCAGGAAGAGCCACAUCCCGGGAGAAGGACCAGCAAGGGCCAAGGGCCUGAGGCAAGGACAAAUGUGCUGUGUUCCAGAGGAAAAGGACAUCAUUCACCUGAGGACUCAAAGCUGUUGUCCCAGAGACAAGGCACAGGAGGCUGGACUCCUUUCCCCACCCCCUGAACCAGCCCCCACCCGAGGGGCAGAGACGGGCUCCUUGAUGCGGUGCUGAUCUUGGCCACCAGAGGGCAGCAGUGCUCCUUCCCUUCCAGGCUGAGUGGGAAGUGCACAAUCCAGGGACACUUGAAGAGCGAGUGUUUUCAUUGUGCUGAAGCUCAGUUUGUUUGCAACCUCUGGGCAGGUUCAGCCCUUCCAGAUAUGUUGGGCAAGAGAAUCCCAACUUCUUAAGCCUCGCAAGAAGUGGGCAGAAACUGCAACCUAAGUGUUUCAGACAAGAGAUCGACAUGGAUCUCGCUAUCAGCAUUGGUGACAAAGAGCAGAAUGCAGGGAGGCAUUGUGAGAUCUCCAGACAGCACUGGAAGGGUUGGCCUGAAGGGGGUGGACAAGGCGAACUCUUAGGGUCUCCCCUGGCGAAGUCCAUGCAAAGAAAGGGUGCUGGGGGGUGGGGGCAAGAGGAAUGCUGUCAAGAGCCUCACAAGUUAUCAGUGACUCCCCAAAAAGGCCCGGGAGGAGGGCGUUGGCCUCAGGGAGUCAGCGGGGAGCUCAUAAGGGAGUUUGGGGAGCCCCUUCUCCCCAUGCCCAGAUCUGGGUAGAAGAUGCAGCCUCCUGUGCACCGGCCCAGAGCUGGCACCGGAGCAGGCUGGGCUUGGGGCUCACCUCUGUCCCUGUGUCCUCCAGAGCUCCCAGAGAUGAAAUGGCACUGCUCCCUGGGGUGGCAUUUUGCUUGUCACACAGGCUUCCUGGGAGUCAGACUGUGGGUCACAACAUGUCAUAGGUGGGGGCACGGGUGUGUGUGGCAGUGUGUGUACCACAGUGGACACACAAACUGCUUCUGAAUGUGCACAACAAAUAAUAAAUGUGUCCUUUUUGUUUUUAUCCUU